rnacentral:rRNA from 1 species
GAUGAACGCUGGCGGCGUGCUUAACACAUGCAAGUCGAACGGAAAGGCCCAAGCUUGCUUGGGUACUCGAGUGGCGAACGGGUGAGUAACACGUGGGUGAUCUGCCCUGCACUUCGGGAUAAGCCUGGGAAACUGGGUCUAAUACCGGAUAGGACCACAUUUUGGAUGGUGUGGUGGAAAGUUUUUCGGUGUGGGAUGAGCUCGCGGCCUAUCAGCUUGCUGGUGGGGUAAUGGCCUACCAAGGCGUCGACGGGUAGCCGGCCUGAGAGGGUGUACGGCCACAUUGGGACUGAGAUACGGCCCAGACUCCUACGGGAGGCAGCAGUGGGGAAUAUUGCACAAUGGGCGCAAGCCUGAUGCAGCGACGCCGCGUGGGGGAUGACGGCCUUCGGGUUGUAAACUCCUUUCGCUAGGGACGAAGCGCAAGUGACGGUACCUGGAGAAGAAGCACCGGCUAACUACGUG